GUUUCCACGGCGGGCGUGGCUGUGAGCAUCUGGGCACGGCGGGUGAGAGGAGACGGCCCGCUGCAGGCGCAGGGGGAGGAUCCCCCAUGGCGGCCAGACCAGGUCUCUUCACGAGAGCCGACUCGUUCUGCUCCUCCUUCCAGAUCCAAUCCAUGGCGAUGUGUGCUACAACAAGCCUGCCAGCCAUGAGAAAGACGAUUCAUAAACUGUAUUGCCGCAUCGAUUCCUAAGAGGUCAAGUUGAUGCAUCCAGCAUGUACUAGUCAAGGCUAACUGGUAUACGCAGUCUUUGCUACUUUUCUUUCAUAUAAGAUGGACCUUCGAGAAAGUAUGGUACCAGAUAUGAUCCAAAGGGAUGACAGAUCAAAGUGGUUAUCACAUAGCAAUCAUAACAAAAAAUCCUUCACAGAGGAUGAGAUAAGAAGAAUUACCAGCAACUAUGAAACUAUCAUUGGAAAAGGCGGCUUCGAAGAAGUUUGCAAAGGUGUUCUCCAAGAUGGAAGAACAGUUGCAGUCAAGAGAUUUAUCCGUAAUGAAGAGGAAAAUUUUGCCAAAGAGCUGAAAGUCCACUGUGAAAUCAACCACAAGAAUGUAGUUAGGCUCAUAGGCUACUGUGCCGAGGAAAAUGCCCUAAUGAUUGUCAGUGAGUACAUAUCCAAAGGGAAUCUCAGCGAUGUUCUUCAUCAUGAAUGCAUUCCCAUCACGUUGGAUACACGACUGCGGAUCGCGGUGGAGUGUUCAGAGGCACUGUGUUACAUGCAUUCACAAAUGUAUACUCAGGUCAUUCAUGGUGAUAUCAAGCCUGCCAAUAUACUAUUAGAUGACAACUUCAAUGCAAAAGUAUCCGACUUUGGAAUAUCAAGACUUGUGAACACAGACUCGACCCUUUUCACUGAUCGUGUAAUAGGGAGCAUAGGUUACACGGACCCUUUGUUUGCCCGCAGCGGGCAUCUCACCUAGAAGAGUGAUGUUUACAGUUUCGGAAUUGUUCUGGUUGAAUUGAUCACAAAGAAAAAGGCAACAACAAGAAAUGGGGGGACCAGCAUAGUUGAAUGUUUCACCCAAGCUCUUGCGACAGGGAAGAGAAGGGUGAGAGAUCUGUUCGAUGUUGAAAUCUCAAGCCAGAACAACAUGAAGGUUCUUGAAGGGGUUGCAGAGCUGGCAGGACAAUGUUUGAGGAUGGAGAUGGAUAGACGCCCUGAGAUGACAGACGUGGCAGAAUGUCUUCGGGCACUUAAGAAAACUCAAGUUCAAGGAAAACAAACACCAACUAUUUUUCCUUGGGGGUGGAGGAACAAGCCAGCUGCUCUAAACAACCAGCAAUCUUCUAGCUCAGUCACGCAACUGCGACAAGAAACUUUGAUAACUCACACCUUCUUGGUCAGGGUAUACAUCGUAGAGUUUACUAUGGAGUGAUUUAUGGGGGUCCAACCAAGGUGGCUGUCAAACGUGGCAGUGUUGACUAUGAUGGAAGUGACUUCCAGACAGAGAUAGCGAUGAUGGCAAAGCUCCGUCACGAUCAUCUCGUACCAUUGGUCGGUUACUGCAAAGAGGAAAACGAGAUGAUACUGAUCUACGAUUACAUGGCUCGUGGCACCCUGCGUGAGAACCUUUACGCUAACAACACCGAGGAGCCACCUCUUAGUUGGAGGCAGCGUUUAGAGAUUUGCAUAGGUGCUGCUCAUGCCCUGCAUUACCUUCACGAGUGUUCCUUCAUCCCCAAUUAUGUGUCGACGACGAACAUUCUCCUGGAUGAGAGAUUGGUUGCGAAGGUUCCAUGUGAAGUCUCGGUGCCGCAUAAUCUCACACGUACAAUAUAUAAGGAUUACGUCGAUCCUCAGUUUUACCGCUCUUGCAAACUCACAGAGAAAUCCCAUGUAUAUUCCUUUGGUGUUGUGCUAUUUGAGGUUUUGUGUGCACGGGCUGCUUAUGAUCUCAAUCUCCCAAUUAUAUUAUGUGACGGAGAAAGUACAAAACUGGUUCUUCUUUGCUUCUCGUCCUGAAUAAGGUAUCAUUGAUCGUACUAGCACCUUGUUUCUUCUCAACUUUAGGGUGCAGAAGAAGCUGAAUGGAAAGCUGAAGCAGCUCAGAAGCGAGCAGGCAGACAUAUGCAUGGCUUCAGGAGCGGUGCAAAUGAUGAAUGACCAAGAGCUGUUCCAGCAUGAACCCUCUGGGUGUUUCACAAUUACUACAUUUGUUGAGACGGUCAAAUUUGUGGAUUUUUUUUUCGAUGGAACUACGAGCGAAAUUCGGCCUUAU